CUGGGAGCCAAUCUUGCCCCAGUCACGAAUCCUACCGCGGCAACGCUCCUCCUUACGGUUAGGCUAACUACUCUGGUAAAUCCACCUCCAUGGUGUGACAGGGCGGUGCGGACUGCGGCAGCCCACCGCGACAUCGGAUCCGCGACACUAGCGAUUCCGAUUUCACGCAGUCGAGUUGCAGACUGCGGACCAGAUCGGUUUCUCGCCACAUGACUCCUGUCCCUGACCAUGGUAGCGACGUGUGAGCUUCCUGCCUAUAGCAGCCAUGAGGACGUCAUCCCCAAUUUCCCCUCCGUUUAAUAUGUCCACAUGCCCUUUCGUAGCAAUCCACGACAAGGGCCGCGCUUCGCUGCGGACUUAACCAACAUCUUCACGACGACGAGCUGACGAUAUGCAGUAUCCCGGGCCCUGCCAGAUGACUUAAAUUUUUCGGGACGCAGGACAUGGGCCAGCGGCGGUGCGUUUUCGGAUGCAACGCGAAAAACCUUACCUACUCCUUGACAUGUCUGGAAUCCCGAAGAGAUUUGGGAGUGCUCGCAAGAGAACCGGAACACAGGUGCUGCAUGGCUGUCGUCAACUCGUGUCGUGAGAUGUUGGGUUAAGUCCUGCAACGAGCGCAACCCCUUGUCAUUAGUUGCUACGAAAGGGCACUCUAAUGAGACUGCCGGUGACAAACCGGGAGGAAGGGGUGGGGAUGACGUCAAGUCCUCAUGGCCCUUAUGGGUAGGGCUUCACACGUCAUACAAUGGUCGGGACAGAGGGUCGCCAACCCGCGAGGGGAGCCAAUCCCAGAAACCCGAUCGUAGUCCGGAUCGCAGUUCGCAACUCGACUGCGUGAAGUCGGAAUCGCUAGUAAUCGCGGAUCAGCAUGUCGCGGUGAAUACGUUCCCGGGGUCUUGUACACACCGCCCGUCACACCAUGGGAGUGGGGUUUUACCAGAAGUAGUUAGCCUAACCGUAAGGAGGGCGAUUACCACGGUAGGAUUCAUGACUGGGGUGAAGUCGUAACAAGGUAG
rnacentral:misc_RNA from 1 species